GCCAAUUGUAAGCCUAAAUAUGCUGAAUCAGUUCCUAUCUGAUUUUGGAAGUUGAAUGGAGCUAAGUUUGGUUAGUACUUGGAAGGGAGACCUUCAGGGAAUACCAGGCAUCAUAGGCC
rnacentral:rRNA from 11 species